rnacentral:lncRNA from 10 species
ACAAUUUAGACUUCGCUAAGUGCCUCAAUACAGGGACUUCUUUUAAUCUUACCAACCCUGUGAAGCAAGCAAGACAGGACUGUGAAGUAUUUCCGAGUGGUGCUGACCGUGGGUGGAGUCAGCAUCGCGGAAGAACUACAGUGGAGGGAAUGACGCCCCCCAACUCAGGAGUUCACCAGCAAACAGGAGGCACGGAACACAAAGCAGCUAAAUCGUGGGGCAGCAAGUGUCACAGGAGACAGGGGUUACAACGGGAGUG